rnacentral:rRNA from 1 species
AACGAACGCUGGCGGCAGGCUUAACACAUGCAAGUCGAGCGCAUCCUUCGGGGUGAGCGGCGGACGGGUGAGUAACGCGUGGGAACGUGCCCUCUUCUACGGAAUAGCCUCGGGAAACUGAGAGUAAUGCCGUAUACGCCCGCAAGGGGAAAGAUUUAUCGGAGGAGGAUCGGCCCGCGUUGGAUUAGGUAGUUGGUGGGGUAACGGCCUACCAAGCCGACGAUCCAUAGCUGGUUUGAGAGGAUGAUCAGCCACACUGGGACUGAGACACGGCCCAGACUCCUACGGGAGGCAGCAGUGGGGAAUCUUGGACAAUGGGGGCAACCCCGAUCCAGCCAUGCCGCGUGAUCGAUGAAGGCCUUAGGGUUGUAAAGAUCUUUCAGCUGGGAAGAUAAUGACGGUACCAGCAGAAGAAGCCCCGGCUAACUCCGUG